AGAUUGAACGCUGGCGGCAUGCCUUACACAUGCAAGUCGAACGGCAGCACGGGAGCAAUCCUGGUGGCGAGUGGCGAACGGGUGAGUAAUACAUCGGAACGUGCCCAAUCGUGGGGGAUAACGCAGCGAAAGCUGUGCUAAUACCGCAUAAGAUCUACGGAUGAAAGCAGGGGAUCGCAAGACCUUGCGCGAAUGGAGCGGCCGAUGGCAGAUUAGGUAGUUGGUGAGGUAAAGGCUCACCAAGCCUUCGAUCUGUAGCUGGUCUGAGAGGACGACCAGCCACACUGGGACUGAGACACGGCCCAGACUCCUACGGGAGGCAGCAGUGGGGAAUAGUUGGACAAGUGGGACGAAAGCCUAGAUCCAAGCCAUCGCCGCGUGUGUGAAGAAGGUCUUACGGAUUAGAAAGUCUAACGUUUUAAGGU
rnacentral:rRNA from 1 species